AAAAUGGCCUUGCUUAACUACAGUGAGAGUCCUUGAAAAAGUUGGACUAAAAGAUGGAGUGGACCACAAGUCGUAUCCACCAAAUACACCUUGGCUUUAGUCCAAGACUCAAAAGUUCUCUUCUGCCGUGUCUCUACAGUCUUGGACUUCUCAUUCUUCCUUGGCCUCGGGCUCAAGGAAAGGGUUUGGAUAUGCAGAAUGUACUCAAGCUCAAUGUCUAGGUGUACAGCUAUAGAACCUACUGUGCUAAGCGGCCUUGUGGAGUGAUCUUCUUACUAGUAAAAUUUGCACACCAAUAAUAAAACAAAGGUUGCAAAAUAAAGAGCUAUGGCAUCUGCAUAUACUGCUAGUUCAUGACAAACAUUUAUUGUCCAUCUCUUCAAAUUGAAAAGACUGCAGAGCCUGAAUUACCUGCAACGUUAUGCCUCUUAUGAAACAUCAGCCAGCCUAUAGAUAGAAGCUCCCUUUUCCAGCUUUAAGCAAGAGGAACCACAAUGAGAUACAGAUCUUGGUAUCAUGGACUGGUCACUUUUUACAACCAACACUACUUGUAAAAUAAGAUUUAUAAAUUAAUUCCUAUAAGCUAUUAAAAAUGCUCCAGUCAAGGUACUAAAAUUUUACCAUCGAGUUUGUGGUUUUGGGUUUGAUAAAAUGUUAACAUAAAAUAUCUUAAGAGUAAACGUUUUAAUGAUACUUCCAAGAUUUCCUAUAUUUUAAACAGAAUUUUAGAAUCUUGCAGAAAAAAAGAGAAGAAAUAAAAAGCUAUUAUUCUGUCAUGGAGGUUAUUGUUACCAAACUCACAUUACAUAGAUAAUUUUGUUCAUGGCAAUAAAUCUUAAAAUAUCAAAUUGGAAUUUCUUAAUUAGCAAUUCAUCUGAGCAGCAGUUUGAUGACCUAUUUGGAACUCUUCCUAGAGGCACUUCUUGCAUGACUAUGUAUCGAUAAUUACCUGU